rnacentral:rRNA from 1 species
UACGUAGGGGCCUAGCGUUGUCCGGAUUUAUUGGGCGUAAAGAGCUCGUAGGCGGUUCGGUAAGUCAGGUGUGAAAUCUCCACGCUCAACGUGGAGGCGCCACCUGAAACUGCCGUGACUCGAGUCCGGUAGGGGAGUGUGGAAUUCCCGGUGUAGCGGUGAAAUGCGUAGAUAUCGUAAGGAAGACCAGUGGCGAAGGCGGGUCUCUGGACAGUUCCUGACGCUGAGGCACGAAGGCCAGGGGAGCAAACGGG